AUUUGGUAGCAGCGGCAGUGAGGAAACAAAAGCACCAGGGACUUUUUGGUUCAAGACAGAGACCAGACUUGAGCCCAAUCAAACACGUCCAGAGAGACCUGAAAAUAGCUGUCCAUUAACGGUCUCCAUCCAACCUGCCAGAGCUUAAGAGGAUCUGCAGAGAACAAUGACAGAAAAUGCCCAAAUCCAAGAACCAAAGAAGACAAACAAUAACCCACCUCCUGUAUUUUCGUUUAUUCGCAACAACUAUCCUGCAUUACUCCCGUCUCCACUUCCCAUCGACGAUGUUGCUUCCAACUUCCCUGUGAUGACGUCAACCUCGGCACUCCAAGACGAUAUCAACCCCGGUGCACCAAGAUGACAUCAAGCCUGAUGCACCACAAUAACAUCAUCUCCGGUCCUCUUUUGAUGACGUCUCUUCUGUACAUCUGAUGUAAUUUCCUACCUAUCUCAUUUCCUGCCUCCAUUUUCUCUAUAAAAAUGCCACGUAUUCCACAAUCUGUUGUCAAUUGUCUUAUUUUGAUCCUCUUAUUAUUAUCUUUUUGUCCAAAUGCACGGACAUUAUACUAUAUUGCGCUAUUACCC